AUGCCAUCCCCAAACACGGUUGCAUCUUCAAUCUUGGCUACCUUGAAACAGCUCUUCAAGUCUGACAAUGUCACUGGCUUUGCUAGCGCGGAGCUCUGGGUGUUGGUGACCACGGCGGGCCUGGUGUUGAGGUUCCUGCUGGACUGCUUCGGGCCGUGGCCCACAGACAGGAGCAUGGCGGGCUUCGUCCAAGUCAUUGACAUACUGAACUACUCCACAAUGCAGUACACCUUGGGGCUGAUGCAGCUCUCGGCGAAGAAGGUGAACGACUACUUUCAGGUCUGGGCAGUGCUGCUGGUAACCCUGCAGUACAGCGUCAAGACUGGACGCCUGUAUCGGAGGUCCAAGCAGCAGCCAGUGCUCGACCUCAUGUCGUCCUUCUGGGCAGCCAGUCUCCUCCGAGUGCAGACCUUCUUCCUCCUCAAGAUACUUCUCUGGCUCAUCUGGACCCUCAAUGCGGUUCGCAUAAUUUCGUACUUUGUCUCAUCCGACAGGGCUGCGACCAUCAACCAAGAGAACACAAGGCUGGUUAGUGACUAUAUGCGAUACGAGCACUCACUGGGUCCUUCGGGUGAUAAGGCCGAGUCUGACAAUGGGAUCAGGAUGCAGUCGUACAAGUACUUGGUCAGUGGGGAAGAUCUGGUGCUGCAUGACAUCCAACGGGAGAGGAAAACUGCAUCAGCACAAUACCGGAUUCGGUUGGAUCCGGAUAAUAAGAAGCUUGUCACCAUGGAGAAGUUAUGGAAUGUUGAUGCUGGCAGUAGUGGGUUGCUGGGUGCUUCCAAAGACACUGGCAACCGAUUGAAGGAUGUCUGCCUCUCAUUCGCGUUGUACAAGCUGCUGCGUCGUCGGUUCUAUAAUCUCCCGAUACAUGAGGCUAGCCAAGAGAAGACGAGGCGGCUCGUCUUCGACUACAUCCUGCAGGAGAACACUGACAACUACAAGAGGGCAUUCCGCAUCACAGAAGUGGAAUUGUCCUUCCUCCAAGACUUGUUCUAUAGCAAACAUGCUGCCAUGUUUGCGGCCGGAUUUCCAGUCUUUGGUAUGCUGAUAUCUUUGUUUCUUGUUGCGGCUACCGGCUACCUUGCAUACCCUGUCCACUAUAUACCAGAGAGGAUGGAUCAAGCCGACAAAAAUAGCAUCACUCAUGGAGUGAUUGUCAGUUACAUCAUAAUUGGCCUUAUCUUCGCCAAGGAGCUGUCGGAGGUCUAUCUAUAUGUAUUCUCCAAGUGGACCAAGGUUCUGAUGAUCUGCAUGUACGUCAAGCAUCGGUUCUUGAGGACUCUGGUGGUGGAGGCUGCAAUGAGGAUGGUUUUCUCGUUCAUCGGGGGUAAAUGGAAUCAAAGGAUCUCUCAGUGUAACCUUCUGAUUUCUUAUUCGUGCAAUAAGAAGAAAUUAACCAGAAGCAUCAAGUUGGAGUCAGAAGUAAAGACGAUGAUAUUUCAGUUGUUUAAGGGCCUGCAGGAGGAUCCAGAGAGGUUGGAAUCCUACUUAUUACAUGCCUUUCCACCAAAGGAAUCACCUAUGAAGAACCUAGAAGAGGUAGUUGAUCUGGAGGCUGAUACCCACAGGAUACUGGUCUGGCACAUCGCCACAUGCUUAUGCGAGAUACACAUCUCUGCUGAAGUGAAAAAAGUGGAGGCUGUACGGCGUCAACAUAGUGGGCUCUUGGCCAGAAAAUCAACAACUCCAAAAGAUGUGUGGCCGCAUUACUUAACUGCUAUCAGAUUAUCCAAUUACUGUGCAUACCUGCUUACCAGAGCAUUGGUGCCGGACAAUGGUAUUGUUGUUACAAAGGUAUUGGCCGCGGUACGUAAGGAAACCUAUCGUGCUACUGAUCGUUCUGCAUCCCAGUCAUUGCAAGAUGUGUACAACAAACUUAUGCAUAUUGCCACGAAGACCUCUGAAGAGUCGGGGGAGAAGGUGGCCAAUGGAAUGGGUUAUUUGGGGGGACAAUUAGCCCCUGGCAGUUCGGUGUUCAUUGAUGAAGCGUUCUGGGCCAGUACAGCCAAUGAUGAGGAAGAUCCUAACAGAACGGGAGCUGAUGCCACUAACAGUUCCAUACCAGCUACCAACAGAGAAGAUAGUUUCGCCGGUGAUGACGACAUCGAUAAUUCAAUAACCCAAAUGGGUGCAAAGCUUGGGAAGAAGUUGAUAGAGGCUUACGGAGAAGACACAUUAGGCCUAUGGAGGGAUCUAGCAGUGUUCUGGACAGGUUUCCUCCUCCACUUGGCAGCAUCAACCAGAGCAGCCAAGCAUAAGACACGACUGGCUGGAAAGGCGGAGCUUAUAACACACCUGUGGGUUUUGCUGUCUCACGCUGGGUUUCUCGGAAAUACCAGGCACGGGCAAACACUGUUAGAUCCACAUGACCUUGAUCAUACCGACCCGCUCAGGUGA
rnacentral:rRNA from 1 species